GGAAUGGAUCAUAGAGUCAUGGCCUCACAUGUAUGUGCACAUGGAUCACUUUGCUACUUAAAGAAAUAGGGAUGAAUAACAUUGAUAAUUAUUAAUUAACGUGUGCUGUAAUAGUUAAAAAAGGCAUUGAAUAUUGAUAAUUAUUAAUUAACGUGUGCUGUAAUAGUUAAAAAAGGCAUUGAAUAUCUCACCUGAAAGUUUCAUCUUCUCCGUAAUUUGAAUUACCACCAGCAAUACUGUUUUCCCUUAGGGAUACCCUAUUAACUAGCC
rnacentral:lncRNA from 1 species